GUUAAAGAAUUUAGCCUUAGAAAUGUAUGUAUCAAAUAUACAGUAGGCUAAAAAAAGUAGUAGUUUGGUGAUGGAAAAAAAGCAUGAUUAAAGCCAUGCUAUGUUUCUUCUAAUAAGAUGAUGUUUGCUUUUGUGAUUCACAGUGGUCAGGGCAGUUUGCUUCAGCCAUUCAUCUACUACAGGUUUCUCACUCUGCGCUAUACCUCAAGACGCAACCCAUAUUGUCGGACUUUGUUCACGGAGCUGAGGAUUUUACUGGAGCAUUUUGUGAUGAAGCCCAGCUGUCCGGCCUUCUUCAGGAGGAUGUGCCUCAACAGCAUUGCCUUUAUUAGCCGCCUUGCUCCCACCGGUGUCUAACAUACACAAACUACUAGACACAAUUCACAGAUUGGGAGUUUCAAGAUUAACUUACAAACAAGAUGGCCAGGUCUGAUCACUCAGAGAUGGAUGUCCUCUUCUGCACUGAGCCGUUUGCUAUGUUUGGAGAGACCAUCAAUCUGACAGACUACAUCCAAAAACAAAACAGCAAGAUGUAUCUCUGUGGACAGUUGUCUGUUAAGGGGGUACAACCGUUUUAGUUCAUUAGAGCUUUUAUAUUCAUAUUGAUUUUCAGGGGGUAGAGAAGGAGCCCUUGGGAUGUUUAAUUUUAACUGCUAGGGUAAAUAGAUAUAGCUCUUUAUAGCUUGUUUUUCUAAUGAAAUCAUACCACUGAGAAAUCAAAUUUCAGCUAUCAUUAGGCUUGUCUGUUCUUUAGUUUGAUUCCAUUUUUUAUGUUCUUGCUAAAAUUGUUUCUAUUGUUGUAUUGGAUUACCCUGAAAAUCUUGAUGUACCUUGCCCUGAGCCUUUCCCAACAGUUGACAAUGAUCUGAAUGCCAUGAGUUCAGGAAGUUUCAUAUGUAACUUGAGGAUGCCUUUUUCAUGUGAACAGAUGAUUGAGGUGUUGUCAAAUAUUCUGUGAUUCUCAUCUAUUACAUAGAGCCCUAUACUCAACUGUUCUUUGCCUUCAAUGCUAUUUAUGGUCAGGGCAAGUUGUAACUGCAUUUGAGAAUGUCAAUUAUUUGCUUGUUCAAGGCAUGUCACAUAUUUAUUGCCUCCGUUUAUAACUACUAUGGUCUAUGUAGAUGAAUAAAAUCAAACUCUAAACCGUUUUUACUGAAUGUAGAGCCGAUAUGUUGCACUAAUUUAAAAUACCAAGACUACUGCAAAAGAUUGUACAUGUAUUUUUUUUUCUACCAUACCUCAAAAUGUAUACGCUACUUAAUUUGCUUAGGUUUAAUUUAUGUAGUACCUCAAAGCAACACUUAAGGCAAUGCUGUAUAGAGACCCUAACUUACAUUUGCGGCAAUCACACAAUUUUUUUUCUGCAAUACUACGACUUUACAAAAGAAAUAGAUGGAAAGAGAAAACCGUAAUGGUAAGACUUCAGAUGUAGUUAUCCCCUCAGCAGUGCUUACUUCAAUAAAUAAUUGCCAGGAUAAGGAACCAGUUUUAUAAUGCACCAUUUAUGCUAACAUUGUAAAUCCAAGUUUAAUUUGACCACGACAACAGCCUUUUAUAAAAUUUGCAUAGUACUCAUUUAGUACCUAAUUUAACAGGUUGUUCAAAUCCAGCCAGCAUUUAAGUGACUGCGUGAAGGACCACUUGCCUGUUUCACACUGAACAAAGUAGACCCACGAAGCAAUGAUCAAUCACCUCAUUUCAGUAAAUGAAGCAAGAGCAAUUAAAUUUAAAGUGUCUAUCACAGAAAAAUAUGCAGGCCAUAAGACAUCAGAUUAUCUCCUCCCACCUCAACCAAAUAGAAAUGACCUGAACAAAGUACAUAAAGGCCAGCAGCACUUUUAUUAAGAUGUAAAAGGGAGGGUCACUUUAACAGUGUUAAAAAAAAAUUUAAAAAAAAGGAUAGAUAAAGUGCAUUGCUGGAGUCUUUCAUAAAAAUAGAACAGACAGAAAUAUUAAAACAAUGCUUGAUUACCUAAUGUACAAAUAUCUGGAUGUAUCAAGCAUAAAAGCUCAAUCCUUAAGGACUG